AUAGAGAGAAAUUAUCCUUAAAUUUAGCAUUUUGGGCUUUGAUCUGUGGUUGUUGAUCAAUGGUCAUGACAAUUUGCAUGUUAAUAAUCAAGGAACAUUCAGUAGGCUGGUUUCACUCAUUGUGCAAAUGUACUGGUUAUAAGGUUGGGGAAACCUGCAGUCAGCUGAGACUGAAGAAGUCACUUGCAUGAGUGAGGAAACCUUUCUCCCACUGAAAACGCUACGUGCAGAUGAACACCACUAAUCAUUAACUGUGUGGAGAGAGGGUGGCAGACUUUCGCUUCUUGGGAGUUAAUAUAGAGGAGAACCUUUCCAGGAGUGUGAACACCUAUGAGCUGCUGAAAAAGGACCAGCACAGACUGCACUUCCUGAGAAUUCUCAGAAGGAAUAACAUCUCACACAGAGACUGCUGGUGUCCUUCUACAAAGCCUCCAUCGAAAGCAUACUAACCUACUGCAUAUGCAUCUGGUACACUAGCUGCACAGUGGCUCAGAGGAAAGGACUCCAGAGGGUCAUUAACACCACCCAAAGGAUCAUUGGCUGUCCUCUCCCCACGCUGGAAGACCUACACAGCACCCGCUGUCUUAAGAAAGCCCAGAACAUUACAAGAGAUACUACUCACUACUCACCAUGGCCACUCCCUGUUUGAACUGUUGCCCUCUGGCAGACGGUACAGAGCAAUCAAUAUGUUUAGCCCCAGUGCAUCCACCCCUAACCACAGCUCCGAGCCUUUCUUGUUCUUGAUGUUGAAAUAGUUGACCCCAUACAUCUCCAGAUCCUGUGCUAUCUUCAGAAAAACUGUAGUACCUGAGUAUCCCUUUAUGCUCUUUAUGCCACACCUGGAUUCUUUCCUCCCACUGACUCUUGUUCAGCUUGUGCUGCUCCAAAACCCUGGUUCAAUCAGUAGAGUAGGUACGCCAGUU